rnacentral:lncRNA from 10 species
GAGCCACUGCACCCAGCCCAAGUGCCCAUUUUUGUGUGGCCCAUGAGCUAAGAAUGAUUUUUCCAUUUUUAAAUGGGGAAAAAAUUAAAACAGUAUUUUGUGAUAGGUAGGAAUUACAUGAAAUUCCAGUUUCAGCAUCCAUAAAUAGUUUUGUUGGAACAGCCAUGCUCACCCAUUUACAUGUUUUCUGUGGCUGGUUUUGUGCUACAACAGCAGAGUUUAAGUAUAAUCCUGCUAUAACCCUUGUUAUUUGCUUUCGAAAUUGCGCAUUUGUUCCAACCCAUUUAAUAUAUUUGGGAACAGUUUGAUCAUAACGCAGACUUCAUGUUUGCUUGUGUGUGAUUUCAUCCUCGAGAAAUAGUAGGUGAAUAUGGGAAACUGUAUCUAGCUGAACCAAGCCUAAGUAGUACACAAAACUCACACCUAAACAUGUACCAGCUACCUCACUCAUCUCCCCACCUGUGUUGAGCAACCCUUCCGACGUCCACUUCCAAAAGCAAAGUGCAUGUCUUCAAGAUAAAAGGCCAUAUUUAUUGUGAUAUAAUUUCUCAACCAUUUGACAUAUGUAAAAACCAAGCUAUCCUUUUUUUUUAAAUGUGUCACUCAUUUGAGUGUUGUGCUUCAAGCCCCAUUUUUCCCAUGAGACCUGUGGUCUUUAUUGUGCAAUUUUGCAUGGCAUAGUGAUUUUUAGGAACGCAUAGGUCACAUUAUAAAGCAGAACUGACUAUAUUUGGGUCAGAGACCAUGUACCCCACAAAGCCUAAAUAUCCAGCCCUUUACAGAAAAGGCUCAAUGAUCCCUGCUUUAGACCAUUGACUUCCACCUCCUUACCUCAUACAGUGCAGAAAUAGACUUACCCACACACCAAUCCAAGAAGCCAAAGCCAGUUUUAUUUCACAAUCAUCUUUAUUACAGUAGGAUGAUGGUCCUGGGCCACCAGCCUAAACCUUGCAGCCUUAGGAAAGACCUGUGUCAACAGGGCUUGCCUCCCUCUCUAGACAGGGGCUCAGCCACCUCCAGGGCAUCCCUGCUGCAUUUUCCCUGCUGGAGGAUGGGGCAGAGGGACAAUGGGAGAGGAGGGCAUGACCCCACCCCAGGCUAUAGCAGCUCCUUGGCCACAAAGAUCCUUUUGCCAGUAGCAGAAGGGAGGAAAACAGCAACCACCAGGGUUACCACCACUUGUGGGAUGGCCAGGACCCCAUUAUGUCCUCUUAAAGUUGUGCUCAAAGCAAUUAAUAAAUUAAAAUGAGCCUUCAGCAGCAAAG